rnacentral:rRNA from 1 species
UACGUAGGGUGCGAGCGUUAAUCGGAAUUACUGGGCGUAAAGUGUGCGCAGGCGGCCGAGCAAGUCGAGUGUGAAAGCCCCGAGCUUAACUUGGGAACUGCGCUCGAAACUACUUGGCUAGAAUGUGGCAGAGGGAGGUGGAAUUCCACGUGUAGCGGUGAAAUGCGUAGAGAUGUGGAGGAACACCGAUGGCGAAGGCAGCCUCCUGGGCCAACACUGACGCUCAUGCACGAAAGCGUGGGGAGCAAACAGG